UACGGAGGGUGCAAGCGUUAUCCGGAUUCACUGGGUUUAAAGGGUGCGUAGGUGGGCAGGUAAGUCAGUGGUGAAAUCUCCGGGCUUAACCCGGAAACUGCCGUUGAUACUAUUUGUCUUGAAUAUUGUGGAGGUAAGCGGAAUAUGUCAUGUAGCGGUGAAAUGCUUAGAUAUGACAUAGAACACCAAUUGCGAAGGCAGCCUACUACACAACGAUUGACGCUGAGGCACGAAAGCGUGGGGAUCAAACAGG
rnacentral:rRNA from 1 species